rnacentral:lncRNA from 1 species
GGGCUGGACCGAACAUAAUAAAUGAGUCUUCAUAGAGCAUCUAUAGACUCGAAGUAUUGAAGAGCCUGCAAUAUUAUCAGUCAAGCACGAGCCGAGCUGGAAGGAUCCCAUUAUUGACUACUUAGUCAAAGGAGAGCUAUCGAUCGAACCCAUCCAAGCACAUAAGAACAAAUGACAAGCACCGUGGUAUGUCAUGGUAUAUCUCCAUAG